GGCGGGGCUGGCGAACGCGGUGUCGCCGAACGCCUCGAUGGCGUCUUUGGCGACGGCGAUCUUCGUCGUCGUCCCGCCGC
rnacentral:tRNA from 1 species